CGAAGUCGGUUUUUAAAUUUUUUUUUUAUCGUGGGAUUUCAUGUGGCGGUAAGACCCACGCACAAUAAGAGCAGGUGCAACGGAAGUCCGACGCUGAUCCUUAGCGUGUUUUUAUAUGCUGAGUUGAAUAGAUUUAUAUUAUAAAAACUAAAUAAUCUAAGGAUUUCAUCAGAUCAGUCAUUCUGUAAGAGGUUUAAGGACUUGAUCCUUAAGACAGGUGGCAACGGGUUAUUGGACAGGUGAUGUUUUGAGUUUGGUUUUGUCGGCAAACUCUCUCCUCCCUCGAUCUCUCUCAAUCUCCUCCUCCGAUUCUUGAUCAUUCAGCCAACAUCCAAGUCUCUCUUCACUUCCCCGAUUCGCAGCUCCGGUGACGUCUACUUCAAAUCACCGGAGAAAGCUUCGCGAUUUCGCCGUUCGGAGAUUUUGCGUUUCCGAUGUGCAAAACGGAGGAAUCGGGGUGGAGGAGGAGGAAGAGCUUGAGCUACAGAACAAGCCUAAUCCUGCAUCGAAACAAGACGAGGAGGACGAGGAGAAUGAGCGUGGGAAGAAGAAGAAAGCAGACGACGACGAGAUUCUCGAGCCGUUUCUCAAAUUCUUCAAGCACGAAGAAGUAGAAGAAGAAGAAGAUGAAGAAUCGGAGGAGGAGACGGAGAGAGUCAAUGAGUGGAGAUGAGAUCUGUUCUGAAGAUGUUGAGAUACACAAAGAGUGUGCCUUUCCUGAUGGGAUUUCAAUCAAUUGACCUCAUCAGACUCGUGUUCUCGAAGAGCCAAUCUUGUCUGAAUCUCCAAAGCUACGCCUUCUAAAGUUGAUUCCUUUUUGCAGUUUCCUGAUAAAGGGGAUGAUGGUCAGCCGUUUGUGGGGAAGAUCAUAACAAUGAAGUAUGGAGACUAUACAAGAAGAGUUGGGAUCGAUGGUACAGCUGAAGCCAUCAAAGAAGCUAUCAGAUCCACGUUUAGGUUAAGAACAAGGCGAGCUUUUUGGCUUGAGGCUGAAGAACAGGUUGUACGCUCUCUUGACAGAGACAUGCCAACAUGGAACGAGUACUGCAAGCAGCUAGAAGAUAACCCUUUUUUUUUCUUUGUACAUAUGUUCCGUCUAUUCAUUUCAUCUAUUAGCUUGGUAGACUUUGGAAGAACUGAAUCAAAGAUAUGCAAUGGACAUAGACAAUGAGAAUA